rnacentral:rRNA from 1 species
CAGUCGCCACGGUAAAACGUAGGGUGCAAGCGUUAAUCGGAAUUACUGGGCGUAAAGCGUGCGCAGGCGGUUUGUUAAGACAGAUGUGAAAUCCCCGGGCUUAACCUGGGAACUGCAUUUGUGACUGGCAAGCUAGAGUCUGGCAGAGGGGGGUGGAAUUCCGCGUGUAGCAGUGAAAUGCGUAGAUAUGCGGAGGAACACCGAUGGCGAAGGCAGCCCCCUGGGCCAACACUGACGCUCAUGCACGAAAGCGUGGGGAGCAAACAGGAUUAGAUACCCCCGUAGUCCCUGUCUCUUAUAC